rnacentral:lncRNA from 1 species
UCUGCUUUCUCAAGAUUGAUACAAGGGAGGUGAAUCUCAGCUACAUCUGCAGUAGGCUUGCCAAAGCCGAUUGUUUCCUCGAUCUUCUCACCAAUGUCAUGAAUGAAACCCUUGACCUUGUCUAUAAAUCCACUGUUGUCUUCUUUGUCAUCCACCUUGUCCUUAACAUCCCUUUCAACUAAUUCUGGCUUAUCGGAUGAUGACAUACCUUAAUAGCAAAGCUUCCAAGUAAUUAAUCAAAUAAAGUUAUUAGAAAAAUAUUCAAAACAUUUUUUCUUUCGAUAAAAGAAACUACAGGAAGCCCUAAAUACUAAAUAAAUUAGUUAACAUAGAUCGCAAUCCUUCUACGACUGUCAAUUGAAGCAAGAUUUAAAACCAGAGGAUAUAUAUAUUGGUUGGCAUAUGUGUAUAAAGAGAGAAGCAGAAGCAGCCAAGCAAGGAACAGCCGAAAGGACUGGAAAAGAGAGUCUUAAUAUUAAGGAUUUGAUCUAAAUACUAAACAUGGAGCCAGCCAGAACACAAAGGAAAGAUAGUGAUCUGAGACAUAAAAAUCAUCGAAGUGAAGAACAGCAGCCAAAACAUCCAGAUCCAGAUCCAGAUCCAGAUCAUCAUCAUUGUUUCAGACAUGACAAUUUCUCAUACUGUAACAAGUCAACAACGGCAAUAACAUUGUAACGAUCAAAAAGAAAAGGUCAUAAACUAGUUUGCUACUACCAUUCCUAAACUUAAAGGGUGACUGGUCUGAUCAUAACUCAAAUCACUCAUCUUCCGGUGGAGGGAUGAGGAUCCAACCCACCAUCUUUCGAAUAUAGAAAAUUUAAAUUAAAAAGUGGAAAACAAAGAAGACAGAUAAUUU